GACGAACGCUGGCGGCGUGCCUAAUACAUGCAAGUCGAGCGAAUCUGAGGGAGCUUGCUCCCAAAGAUUAGCGGCGGACGGGUGAGUAACACGUGGGCAACCUGCCUGUAAGACUGGGAUAACUCCGGGAAACCGGGGCUAAUACCGGAUAAUAUCUAUUUAUACAUAUAAUUAGAUUGAAAGAUGGUUCUGCUAUCACUUACAGAUGGGCCCGCGGCGCAUUAGCUAGUUGGUGAGGUAACGGCUCACCAAGGCGACGAUGCGUAGCCGACCUGAGAGGGUGAUCGGCCACACUGGGACUGAGACACGGCCCAGACUCCUACGGGAGGCAGCAGUAGGGAAUCUUCCGCAAUGGACGAAAGUCUGACGGAGCAACGCCGCGUGAGUGAUGAAGGUUUUCGGAUCGUAAAACUCUGUUGUUAGGGAAGAACAAGUACCGGAGUAACUGCCGGUACCUUGACGGUACCUAACCAGAAAGCCACGGCUAACUACGUGCCAGCAGCCGCGGUAAUAC
rnacentral:rRNA from 1 species